rnacentral:lncRNA from 1 species
GGCUCUGCACAGUCGAACGCGGUCAACCUGUUGCCUAGUCUGGUUUCUCUUGGUAAGUUUGCAGCCUGGGCGUCGGUGCUCAGGACUCUGUGUUCACUGAGAUCCUUCAGGGAGGGAACCUUGGCUAGGGCCAGUUACGCCUGGGAGUCCGCAUGGGCGCCCUGGGCCUGGGCGCGUGGGGUCGGAGAGGCUCCUGAACUAGGGGAGAAUGAGGUCGGCCACACACGGAUUCGCGACCCCGGCAGUUCCUUGAUCCGCAUCCAGCACCUUUAGCAAGCAGGUAGGUGGUGCCGAGAGUUUGCCCAGGCUGGACAGAAAGAACCUCGGAGUGCCCCCUGCUUCUCCCAGGCCCUGGUGACUCGAGCGAGGCCUGGCUACGAGCAACGACCUGUGGCAGCCGCGCCAGGGAGUAGGCCUGCCAGUCCGGGCUACGGCCUGAUCCUGGAUCUGGGCAGUUGCAGGCAAUAACAUCUGUUCAAAACAGCCUCCCUGCACUUGGAGACCUGAGUCCCGACAGGAAUCUAGUCCGAGGCCAGGAGACUUGUCCCUCGGGAGUGUGGAUAUUUAUUUCCACGACCCGGACAGAAGCUCUGUGGAAGUCAGGUCGGAAGCUUUGCUGUGUCCAGGACACUCUUGCCACCUCCCUUUCUGUUAUAAGAAAGGGUCUGAUAUAAGAAAGAAGUUUGAGGAAAAGGAUGAAAUCAAAAGAAAGCAGAAAACAAUGUUCUUUGGAUACCGGGAAGCUUCAAAAACUUGAAGGGCAUUCAGCCUCGAUCUCAGAACUCAGGUGAAUGUCAGUAAGGGCAGCAUUGAUGCCAGUUGUGUCUGAGAGACUUUUAUGUCUUCAAAGAGCCUAAAUGCUGCAUCUUCUCACCCUAUAGUCACAUCCCCAGGCAGUGACCUUGGUGUAAAGAGGGGCUUUGUGGUUUUCCUGCUGCAGGGACCUCUAUGCUGUUAGGUCAUGGCAACAAGUCUGGGUACAAAUUCCACACUGCAGGUCAGCCGUGUAGCUUGGUAUCACUUCCUCUCUUGUGAUUGUGUUAAAGGACAUAAGUAAAAGGACCUCAGGCUGCCUCUGUUAACAGAGAACCUUCGAGAAAUGAAUAACUGUGAGCUUCCUCUGCUUUUGGUGGGGCUCCAUGCCACUCCCCGCCCCCAGGCUGCAUUCAGAGUUGUGGUUGGACUGCAGAAAACCAAUAAUUUGACUCCCUCAUCGUCACAUCUUUCUAGGUGACCUGGGAAAGGGGGAGGAAGGGUUUCAUCAGGCUGGCCUCUACAGAGGCCUCAUUUUUCAUCCCCUGAAGGCUCAACAGACCUCAAUCUUAUCUCCUUGAUCUCCCAGCCUUCCAUCCUUAGCUCUUUGUAGGAAUGUAGCAUUUGGUAGUUAGCAGUGGCAGAGGUCACUAGGCAGAACUGGCACCCCGCCUCCCACGUGGCAGGGGCCUGCACCUGCAACAGCCGUGGGUACUCCCUGCACUGUCUCUCAGAGGCCUCAGACUCCAUGAUGGGCACUUGGUUCCCUCUUCUAUCCCUUCCUUCUUCUCUCCUGAACAAUACUCUUGGAAACCAACAGCUUGUUAAACUUGUCAAAACGGAGCUCUGAAGGGCCAUCUUUCCAUGGCUUCUUACUGCCUUCCCUAGAGUUGAGUAAAUGGCACCUUCCUUGCCCCACUUCCCAAGAAGCCAUGUUUGAUUGCCACCCUACCUCCCUUGUCUACAAAGCACCAGGAAUAUAGCUGCUCAUCCCCUCUGUUGCCACCCGGGCCACACCCUUCAUCAUCCUCUCACAGGGCCCUGACUUGUCACCCUCCUUCCAUCCUGGGCUUCUCAAAGACCUUAGAACCUCCAGAGAGUUCUGCAGUGCAAAUCAGAGCCCAGGCUCUCCAGUGGUUCCCCAUAUCACAUCAAGUAAAACCCAAAGUCCUUCCCACAACACCUUACGUGCUGGUGGCCUCUUUGACCUUGACCUCUGUCCUUCCCCUCAGCUUUAAACGUCACUCACCUAGAUUCUCUUCACUCCAGAUUCCAUCCCAUCUUAGAACUUUGGCAUCUGCUUUGCCUUCUGCCCCAGACUCCAGUCUUUUCACAAUGGAAAAUCAUUCAGUGAGAUGUUACCAAUCGCGGCUUUCCUGGAUCACCUCUGUUUAAGCAGGGAUUUCCUCCUGGAGUUCUGUCCCACUGUCUCCUUUUACUUUCUAAAUAAUCAGACUUACUUCCUGGGCUUGUCAUUUGGGUAUGUGCUAAUGGAUCUGGUGCCUGUUCCACUCCAAUGGUACUUAAAUUGGAUGUGGCAUAUCUUGUCUCUCUUCUCCCCAAGGUGGAGGACAGCUAAGAGACAAGUAAUCAAAACACGUGAUUACAGAUGGUGGUGCUUCGUAAGCAAUGCUUGCAUUUAAGGCACUGCCAAUGUCUAAAUGGUGGGAUGGCUCAGUAGGUAAAACUGCACGCUGUGCACUCCUGACAACCCGAGUUCAAUCCCUGGAAGCCAAGGUGGAAGGAGAGAGCCAAAUCACAAAAAAAUCGUCCUCCAAUUUUCAUGUGUAUGCUGUGACAUGUGUGCACACAUUACACACCUAUCGUAUACAUGCAAUAAUAAAUGAGUG